rnacentral:misc_RNA from 1 species
GAUGAAGAACGUAGUGAAGUGCGAUAAGUAGUGUGAAUUGCAGAAUUUCGUGAAUCAUCGAAUCUUUGAACGCAAAUUGCACUCUCCGGUUUUCCGGGAGAGUAUGCCUGUUUGAGGGUCAGCCUAAAUAAAUUCGGCUUCGUUGCUGUUGUUUUCGCGGUAACGUUUUUAGUCGGGAUUUGGGUCAUCUUAAACCGAAAGGUUUUUAAGCGACUUAAAAUUUUUUUACGAUCCCACGAACGUUUCUAAGUACUUCUUACACGUUCAAGGUAUCGAAAACCCCUAUUAGGCGUGGCCGUCGUAUCGGAUCGCGUCCAUAAUAUUUAUUCUUUAACUGACCUCAGACAGGUAAGAAUACCCGCUGAACUUAAGCAUAUCAAUAAGCGGAGGA